rnacentral:lncRNA from 1 species
UGAUUCUGCAAAAUAUUCUACAUUUCACAGAAGCAGUCACACCAAAGAAAAUGUCAAAAUUAAUUCAUCUCUAAUUUGUGAGCAUUUCACCACCAAACACACAAAGCAACAUAAAAUUAUGAAAGAAAAAGCCACCACAGGAAAGGCAAGAAUCAGCAACAGGCUCUUGCACAGAUCUGGAUGUGAAGUUGCUGGUGAUAGGAGUAUACCAUAGGCCACCUAACCAAGGGGAGACUGUUG